ACCGCAAAGCAAAAUGAGGAUUGAUUAAACGUCUAUGUCUACUGUUAUAUGAUCUAUUUACAGAGAUAUUCAAUUUUCACACCAACUCAAUUCUCCUCGCCAACUCUUCCCUUGAUGUGAGAACUUAGAGGAACCAACAUGCACGAGUCACCAAAGACACGUCCGAGUCUAGCCAAAAGUUGCGCCUGGCAGUGAAGGGCAACAAUACUGGUGCUGGACACUAUAAGACCUCAUUCUCAAACCUUUCAAGGCUCUCACACACACACACACAGACUGACACUUAAGGCUUUGGUCGAGGUUGUGUGGGGCUUUCCAUGGGUAGUUUUAUGAGCCUGGGGAUAGUUGACACACACACACACACACACACACACACUUAAGGCUUUGGUCGAGGUUGUUGUGGGGUUUUCCAUGGGUAGUGUUAUAAGCCUGGGGAUAUUUUGUCAAGGCUUAUGCAUCGAGAACCUGACUAACCUCUCUGUAGCCUUAGAAAAUACUUAGUUGUUGUUCCUCACACACACACAUAUUCAAGGCUUUGGUGGAGGUUGUGAGGCUUUCCAUGGGUAGUGUUAUGAGCCUGGGGAUAGUUUGUCAAGGCUUCUACACCAUGAACCUGACAAACCACUCUUGAGAACCUGACUAACCUCUCUGUGAAAUAGUUGUCCCUCACACACACACACAUUUAAGGCUUUGGUCGAGGUUUUGUGAGGCUUUCCAUGGGUAGUGUUAUGAGCCUGGGGAUAGUUUGUCAAGGCUUCUACACCAUGAACCUGACAAACCACUCUUGAGAACCUGACUAACCUCUCUGUGAAAUAGUUGUCCCUCACACACACACACAUUUAAGGCUUUGGUCGAGGUUUUGUGAGGCUUUCCAUGGAUAGUGUUAUGAGCCUGGGGAUAGUUUGUCAAGGCUUCUACACCAUGAACCUGACAAACCACUCUUGAGAACCUGACUAACCUCUCUGUGAAAUAGUUGUCCCUCACACACACACACAUUUAAGGCUUUGGUCGAGGUUUUGUGAGGCUUUCCAUGGGUAGUGUUAUGAGCCUGGGGAUAGUUUGUCAAGGCUUCUACACCAUGAACCUGACAAACCACUCUUGAGAACUUGACUAACCUCUCUGUGAAAUAGUUGUCCCUCACACACACACACACACACUUAAGGCUUUGGUCGAGGUUUUGUGAGGCUUUCCAUGGGUAGUGUUAUGAGCCUGGGGAUAGUUUGACAAGGCUUCUACACCAUGAACACAAAGAAACACUCGUGAAAACCCAACUAACCUUUCUGGGGCCUUGGGAAAUAACUUUUGUGUGAGCCGGAAUCGUCUGAGAAUGUGGGUUUUCAAUUGCUCUAUCCGUCACCGGCCCCAGAAGCCGUGUACUCUGUUAAACCUCUUCUCGGUAACUUGGUAAAUAGGUCCCUCGAUGUGCCCAUUUUAGCAUGCGUCAUUGGCCAGUCCUAUUGCAUCCACGCCAUUCUUCGUCUGAGGCUGUGCGGGGUUGUUGGAAGCUGGAAAAGGUCAAAGGUUAAUUGGGCGAUAUGGAAAACGUUAAAUCUCAUUGGUGGAUGCUGGGAAGGGUUGAAUCUUUUUGGUGGAUGCUGGGAAGGGUUGAAUCUUUUUGGUGGAUGCUGGGAAGGGUUGAAUCUUUUUGGUGGAUGCUGGGAAAGGGUUAAAUCUUACUGGUGGAUGCUGGGAAAUGGGAAAUCUUACUGGUGGAUGCUGGGAAAGGGUUAAAUCUUACUGGUGGAUGCUGGGAAAUGGGAAAUCUUACUGGUGGAUGCUGGGAAGGGUUAAAUCUCACUGGUGGAUGCUGGGAAAGGUUAAUUCUUACUGGUGGAUGCUGGGAAAUGGGAAAUCUUACUGGUGGAUGCUGGGAAAUGGGAAAUCUUACUGGUGGAUGCUGGGAAGGGUUAAAUCUUAUUGGUGGAUGCUGGGAAAGGUUAAUUCUUGCUGGUGGAUGCUGGGGAAGGGUUAAAUCUCACUGGUGGAUGCUGGGAAAGGGUUAAAUCUCACUGGUGGAUGCUGGGGAAGGGUUAUAUCGCACUGGCUAGCAUGGUCAUAAUCUUUUUACCAAGUUAGUGAGAAGAGAAUAUAGUUGACAACACACACUUACGUUACGAAAGACCACACUUGAUUAUAUUUGAGGCCGUCCCUUGAGGCUGGUGGCAAGGCAUAGCGUCCCUCUGUACUGUUUGCCUUCGUAACACCUUUUCUGACCCUCUGUUAACAAGACACUAAAGUCGUAACAUUGACCAGCAGUUGUAGGAUAUGUUUGCAAUCUUGUACCCAUUCAUUCUGACCUCCUCUGUUGAUAUACACUCGAAAUAUCAUUGGGUAACUGUGCUAUGGUUUGCUGAAGACUCCAUAGCCACCAUCCCAGACCACACUCCCACCAGGCAAAUAUAUUACCCUGAAAAACAAGAUUAAGUGUGAGAAUGAGGUGUGUGAAGUCCCCCAUUAAAAUCAAUAUGGAUCGACACUUUUUCUUCAGUUUUAUGCCCUGUUUCAGUGUUUUCAGAGUAGCGUUUUGCCUGAUUGGAGUUCUAACUGGCAUGGUGUUUAUAUAUGGUGUCCGAAAAGGGUCAGAAUCUCUAUGGUCAGAAAUCCUUAUUAAACUCUUUGAAGGCUCGGUCCGUGUACUUCAAAAGGGGGCUCAUGGAAGUUGUCGAGGAUUCCAUUGGUAAAAAAAAUAAUGAAAAGGGAACCAAAUGAGAAUGAAAAAUGAAAGACAAGUUGCUAUAUAAGGUUCCAGUGGUAGUUUUAUAAGGCUUGUGCGCUGUGAACGCGACAAACUCGUGACAACCCAACGUAGCUCCUCUUUGGACUUGAAAAACGUCCGUAACAAGACCCAAAAACAUUUCAUAAUACACGUGGGAAUAGAGAAUCGAGUCUUGAGUUGCCACCUCUCUCGGGACGCCUCACACUCUUAGUUUCUUACAUAGGUCACGUGCCUCUUGUGAUAUGAUUCCUCCAGUUAGUUCAGUCGUCCCUCAAAUACUACGGUUUUCAAUAGUUUGGUUUCGGUUUUAUGUGGAUUUUCAGAUUUUUUAAGGAUUUUUAAAUUUCACGACAAGCAGGAAAUUUAAAAAUCCUUAACCCAGUAGCAGCGACGGGCCAAAUUUGUGGCUUUACCGUGUACCAGCGAUGGGUCAAAUUUGUGGCUUUACCGUGUACCAGCGAUGGGUCAAAUUUGUGGCUUUACCGUGUACCAGCGAUGGGCCAAAUUUGUGGCUUUACCAUGUACCAGCGAUGGGCCAAAUUUGUGGCUUUACCGUGUACCAGCGAUGGGCCAAAUUUGUGGCUUUACCGUGUACCAGCGAUGGGCCAAAUUUGUGGCUUUACCGUGUACCAGCGAUGGGCCAAAUUUGUGGCUUUACCGUGUACCAGCGAUGGGCCAAAUUUGUGGCUUUACCGUGUAGCAGCGAUGGGCCAAAUUUGUGGCUUUACCAUGUACCAGCGAUGGGCCAAAUUUGUGGCUUUACCGUGUACCAGUGAUGGGUCAAAUUUGUGGCUUUACCGUAUACCAGCGAUGGGUCAAAUUUGUGGCUUUACCGCGUACCAGCGAUGGGCCAAAUUUGUGGCUUUACCGUGUAGCAGCGAUGGGCCAAAUUUUUGCCAUGAUAUAAACCCCCCAAAAAUAGAUGAUGCAUAAACUGAUCACAAAUGCUUUGAUAUAUAUUAUGAAACUGCGUGAGUGAUGAUUUUUUUCUCAUUAAUUCGCUUAGAGGGGACUUUAAGAAACAUGAUCCCCGGCCGCAGCUCCCGGGUUAAAAGGUCUUCUAUGACAAUCCGUAUAAAACCAAAACCGAACUAUUGAAAACCGUACUAUUUGAGGGGCGACCGUAUUAUAUUAUUUGUCCAGGUCCAGGUACUUGUGAUUAGGUUAAGUUCCCGAGUGCACUGCGUCGCGGCCGGCAGUGACCUCCCUUAGUUGUAUUCACUGAAGAUUAUCUUAUACAAAUCUAUACAAGAGGUGAUGUUGGGCUCCAAUGUUGCUCUAUUAUGAAAAAUAUAUAUAUGAAUUUUAA